GAAAAAGUAGGGUCUUGUUGCCGUUCAUGAGUGAGGCUCGUACAAUUCAGUAAAAUUAUUUGCAUUGUUAUCGGGUGAACCGCCGGAUCUUCUUGGUAACUGAGGGUUCAGUAAAUGAUGUUGCAUUU